CCUACGGGUGGCAGCAGUGGGGAAUAUUGGGCAAUGGGCGCAAGCCUGACCCAGCAACGCCGCGUGAAGGAUGAAUGCUUUCGGGUUGUAAACUUCUUUUUUCAGGGAAGAGUAGAAGACGGUACCUGACGUAUAAGCCACGGCUAACUACGUGCCAGCAGCCGCGGUAAUACGGAGGUGGCGAGCGUUGUCCGGAUUUACUGGGUGUAAAGGGAGUGUAGCGGGGUUGAUAAGUCAGAUGUGAAAUCCUGCGGCUUAACCGUAGAACUGCAUUUGAAACUGGUGGUCUUGAGUACUGGAGAGGUAGGCGGAAUUCGUGGUGUAGCGGUGAAAUGCGUAGAUAUCAGGAAGAACCCCAAUGGCGAAGGCAGUUUACUGGACUGCGACUGACAGUGAGGCUCGAAAGUGUGGGGAGCAAACAGGAUUAGAUACCCCUGUAGUC
rnacentral:rRNA from 1 species